AACGAACGCUGGCGGCGUGGAUUAGGCAUGCAAGUCGAACGGAACUUCUAGCUUUUUCGGAAGUUUAGUGGCGAAAGGGUGAGUAACACGUGGGUUACCUGCCCUAGGGUUCGGGAUAACCUGUCGAAAGACGGGCUAAUACCGGAUACGUCCUGCACUUUUCGAAGUGCAGGGGAAAGAUGGGGAUCCGUAAGGACCUAUCACCCUUGGAUGGGCCCGCGGCCUAUCAGCUAGUUGGUGAGGUAAUGGCUCACCAAGGCUAAGACGGGUAGCUGGUCUGAGAGGAUGGUCAGCCACACUGGAACUGAGACACUGUCCAGACACCUACGGGUGGCAG
rnacentral:rRNA from 1 species